rnacentral:rRNA from 1 species
AAGUCGUAACAAGGUUUCCGUAGGUAGCAUGUUUGCCUGCCGGAAGCCCCCGCAGCGACUCUAAAGAAUUGCGUUAGUCGCCCCUCGAUUCGGGGCAGGCAACGCCAUCACUCUGCGCUGGAAGUCCCCCAUUCGGGGCCAACCAGCAGCUCCGGAGACCCCUGCGGAGUUCACAGAUCAAACGAUAGCGGCCACCUCGGUGGUUGAGAUAUGGUCGGCCUUUAGCUGUCCCCGGCUGGAGAACUCGCGGAACCUGCGGAAGGAUCAUUACCGAGAGAGGGGCUUCGCGCUCCCGGGGGCUCCGGCCCCCAACUCUUCACCCACUGUCUACCUACCUUUGUUGCUUUGACGGGCCACGGGGCCUUCCUGCGCUGGCUUUCGGGCCGGCGAGUGCCCGUCAGAGGCCCAUUAAAUUCCGUUUAAUAAGUGACGUCCGAGUAAAAAUUACAAUAGUAAAAACUUUCAACAACGGAUCUCUUGGUUCCAGCAUCGAUGAAGAACGCAGCGAAAUGCGAUAAAUAAUGUGAAUUGCAGAAUUCAGUGAAUCAUCGAGUCUUUGAACGCACAUUGCGCCCCUCGGUAUUCCGGGGGGCAUGCCUGUUCGAGCGUCAUUACACCCCUCAAGCGUAGCUUGGUAUUGGGCUUCGCCCCCGCGGCGUGCCCGAAAAACAGUGGCGGUCCGGCGUGACUUUAAGCGUAGUAAAUUUUCAUCCCGCUUUGAAAGCUCAAUCCGUGGCCUGCCAGACAACCCCAAAAUUUCAAUCAUUGACCUCGGAUCAGGUAGGGAUACCCGCUGAACUUAA